rnacentral:rRNA from 1 species
GGUAGCCGGCCUGAGAGGGUGAUCGGCCACACUGGGACUGAGACACGGCCCAGACUCCUACGGGAGGCAGCAGUGGGGAAUAUUGCACAAUGGGCGGAAGCCUGAUGCAGCGACGCCGCGUGGGGGAUGACGGUCUUCGGAUUGUAAACCCCUUUCAGUAGGGACGAAGCGCAAGUGACGGUACCUGCAGAAGAAGCACCGGCCAACUACGUGCCAGCAGCCGCGGUAAUACGUAGGGUGCGAGCGUUGUCCGGAAUUACUGGGCGUAAAGAGCUCGUAGGCGGUUUGUCACGUCGUCUGUGAAAUCCUCCAGCUCAACUGGGGGCGUGCAGGCGAUACGGGCUGACUUGAGUACUACAGGGGAGACUGGAAUUCCUGGUGUAGCGGUGAAAUGCGCAGAUAUCAGGAGGAACACCGGUGGCGAAGGCGGGUCUCUGGGUAGUAACUGACGCUGAGGAGCGAAAGCAUGGGGAGCAAACAGGAUUAGAUACCCUGGUAGUCCAUGCCGUAAACGGUGGGCGCUAGGUGUGGGGUCCUUCCACGGAUUCCGUGCCGUAGCUAACGCAUUAAGCGCCCCGCCUGGGGGA